AUAUGGUUAUAAAUGAGAAUAUCUAUGUCUUUAGAAAAUAUGCACUUAUAUUUUGAGUGUUAACAGUGUAUAAUGUCAGCAACUUACUUAUACCACAUAUGGUUCAGAAAAUAAUAUUCUGAAUAUGCAUAUAUAUGUAUUAUGUCCCUAUGUACAUUGUAUAUGUGUGUAUAGACAUAGAUCUAUAAGUGAGGUGGGAGGAAGAGAGACUUUUUUUUAAAAACUGAGGGUAGCCCUGACUGGUGUGGCUCAGUAGGUCAGGGGUGGUCCCCCACUGAGAGGUAGCUGGUUCAAUUACUGGUUAGGGCUCAUGCCUGGGUUGCAGGCCAAGUCCCUGGCUGGGGGUGUGCAAGAGACAAGUGGUGAUGUUUCUCUUCAUCUUGUUCUCCCUCCCUUUCCCUCUGUCUAAAGAUAAAUAAAUAAAAUCUUAAAAAAAAAAAAACAACUGAGGGUAUAUGAGUACAAAGAGAUCAUUUUGAAAAACACACGUAAGCUAUGAGGGGAAAUGCUGGAGAAUAUACCAAUUUCAAAUAACAAAGAGAUGGAAUGAGAAGACAUACUACACAAUAACAUACGUCACUAAUUUUAUUAUGAGAGGAAGGAGAAAAAUUUCUGCAACAACCUUUAUCAGAAACAGCAUUUCCUUAUGUGCUUCUAAAUUUGGGGGUCUUCUGUUAAUAGUGGAGAAAAUUACAGUAGGAAAUAUGUCAAAACACUUAGAAAUCAUACACUCAUUUUCAAAUGAAAUUCUUUUUUUCAGCCAUUCCUAAAGCUACAUAAAAUAAAGGGAAGCAUGGUUGUAGGCAAGAAAAAUAGGAGGAGGACUGGGAAAUUUUUCCUAUGCUAGAGUCAAGUACUGUAUCUUCAACCUGAAGCCUGCAAAAAUACUGAAAUGAUGCAAACAGAGGGGUACUUUAAAAUCAAAAGUACAUACUAGGUAUUUUAUUGUUCAUAUUAAUCUGUAUACAAAAUACAUUUUACCUAGGCUCAUAAAGAAAUAGAAGGAGCUGCGUAAAUUCAAUUCAACAAAUAUUCAUUAAAUGUUUAAAUUCCUAGUGCUCAGAUUAGUGUUACUGCUAAAAUCUUUAAAUAAAAAAAAGAGAACACAACUUACACAUGGAAAUGAUUACUGUUACUAAACAUCUCCUGAAACUAGGGGAAAAAAAUUCCCAAGGAGAGACCCAUUCUCUCCACGAGCAGCAGCCAGUGCAACCAGCUUGUUUCACUGAGGUGUUGGCGUGGUCCUGUUAACAAACUUUUGUUUAGGAAGAACAGAUAUGCUGACUUCUAGUUUUCUAUGUACUAGGUACUAAAUACAAAUAAUAACCAAAUCCUUUUUUAUUGGCAUGAUUUCCUUCUACAAUGCAAAAUUUAGGGUUAUGAGAUUAAUGACAAAAAAGAUUUUUCUGGAUCAACAUUACAAUGCAAGACUCCCCAAGAAUGUCUUAGAAGAAUACAUACCACCAAAGUACUCACCUAAAUAACUACACCCUACUUCAUGCUGUGAGGAAUGAGACAAGAAUCUGUAACUAGCUUAAUUUGGCUUUACUCACAUUAUCUCAUAUCUUCAUUACCUAUAUAUCCAAGUGCUCUUAUUGGCAUCACACCCUUAUUUAUCUUUUCAGUAUAAAUUUCUGUGAUGUUUCUUUGAAGUUAGAACAGCUCUACCAGUAAGCACCACUGAGUCCACAGUUACAGCAAAAACCAAAUACCAUGAUGUUGAGAUCUAAUGAUCUAUUAUUACAGCUUUAACUUCAAAUAUCUUGCAGCAUUUAGUACAAUUUUAAUUAUUGUCACAAUAUUGGAGUUAAUUAUGACAAAAACAAUAAAUAUCAUUGAAACAAUGAAGUCACUUGAUUUGCGAAGCCAUGCCUCCCAAGAAGGAAUCAAGAAAAAUAUACUGAAUGUAAAAAAUAAAGUGACAAAAAUUAGAAGUGAAUUUAAUGAGUACAGUUCUCCCCGACUUAAAAGAAUAUAAAAACUCAGUUCUGUUGAUCAAACAUGUU